UGAACGCUGGCGGCGUGCCUAAUACAUGCAAGUCGAGCGAACGGACGAGAAGCUUGCUUCUCUGAUGUUAGCGGCGGACGGGUGAGUAACACGUGGAUAACCUACCUAUAAGACUGGGAUAACUUCGGGAAACCGGAGCUAAUACCGGAUAAUAUUUUGAACCGCAUGGUUCAAAAGUGAAAGACGGUCUUGCUGUCACUUAUAGAUGGAUCCGCGCUGCAUUAGCUAGUUGGUAAGGUAACGGCUUACCAAGGCAACGAUGCAUAGCCGACCUGAGAGGGUGAUCGGCCACACUGGAACUGAGACACGGUCCAGACUCCUACGGGAGGCAGCAGUAGGGAAUCUUCCGCAAUGGGCGAAAGCCUGACGGAGCAACGCCGCGUGAGUGAUGAAGGUCUUCGGAUCGUAAAACUCUGUUAUUAGGGAAGAACAUAUGUGUAAGUAACUGUGCACAUCUUGACGGUACCUAAUCAGAAAGCCACGGCUAACUACGUGCCAGCAGCCGCGGUAAUACGUAGGUGGCAAGCGUUAUCCGGAAUUAUUGGGCGUAAAGCGCGCGUAGGCGGUUUUUUAAGUCUGAUGUGAAAGCCCACGGCUCAACCGUGGAGGGUCAUUGGAAACUGGAAAACUUGAGUGCAGAAGAGGAAAGUGGAAUUCCAUGUGUAGCGGUGAAAUGCGCAGAGAUAUGGAGGAACACCAGUGGCGAAGGCGACUUUCUGGUCUGUAACUGACGCUGAUGUGCGAAAGCGUGGGGAUCAAACAGGAUUAGAUACCCUGGUAGUCCACGCCGUAAACGAUGAGUGCUAAGUGUUAGGGGGUUUCCGCCCCUUAGUGCUGCAGCUAACGCAUUAAGCACCCCGCCUGGGGAGUACGACCGCAAGGUUGAAACUCAAAGGAAUUGACGGGGACCCGCACAAGCGGUGGAGCAUGUGGUUUAAUUCGAAGCAACGCGAAGAACCUUACCAAAUCUUGACAUCCUUUGACAACUCUAGAGAUAGAGCUUUCCCCUUCGGGGGACAAAGUGACAGGUGGUGCAUGGUUGUCGUCAGCUCGUGUCGUGAGAUGUUGGGUUAAGUCCCGCAACGAGCGCAACCCUUAAGCUUAGUUGCCAUCAUUAAGUUGGGCACUCUAAGUUGACUGCCGGUGACAAACCGGAGGAAGGUGGGGAUGACGUCAAAUCAUCAUGCCCCUUAUGAUCUGGGCUACACACGUGCUACAAUGGACAAUACAAAGGGCAGCGAAACCGCGAGGUCAAGCAAAUCCCAUAAAGUUGUUCUCAGUUCGGAUUGUAGUCUGCAACUCGACUACAUGAAGCUGGAAUCGCUAGUAAUCGUAGAUCAGCAUGCUACAAAGAAUACGUUCCCGGGUCU
rnacentral:rRNA from 1 species